GUCGCAACGCUCGUGACCAUGCUCGCGACUGACGCAUUGGCGCGUGCAAGGUAAAGCCUUUAGUAGAAGUUAGCGUUCGUUCGAACCUGACCUGCAGUUCAGAGAGCAGCCAAGGGGCUGUUGUGGUUGCCAAGCCAAGUUUCGGAGACAGUCUUCCUGUCCAGAUAGAAGGACAAACCGGAAAGAGAGGAUGUCGGGUGCAGUUGCCUGGGACAGAGGCCAAAU
rnacentral:lncRNA from 1 species